CCCAUAUCCCUAAAAUUGUGGAGCCUCUACACGCUACUCUUCUACUACCUCCAGCGAUGAAACUCCAAUAAAACUAAAAGAUCAAAAAUUUCACGGCUUCUCUUCCAUCGCCCAUCACUCUCUCUCUCGCGUGUGCCUCCAUUCCAGAUCUGCUCGGAAACAAAAGUUGAAAGAAGUUUGGCAGUGGGCAAUAGUACAAGAGGCUUGUUUAGAUUCUAUGAUUGGUCUUGUUUAGGAUUUGAGGAUAAAACUUCAGGCUUCCCAGGGGCUUCAUCUGCUCAGCCUGCUUCUACUAAUGGAGAUUCUGAAACACAUGCACCUUGAUCCCUACUACUAGCUACUACUUAUAAGGUCCUGGAAAAAACUUUUAUUUGUUUUUAGUUUGGUAUUGCUCUCGUACUAUUUCUAUUGUUAUGGAUGAUGCUAUUUUUCCUAUGUAUUAAGACUAUGCAGUUUGAAUUCAAUAAAUUACUCAAAUCUUCAC